rnacentral:lncRNA from 1 species
GUAUAUCAUCGGUAUUUAAUAUCUAUUGACACGCGAGAUACAUACGCUGGCAUCGAGGAUAUCUCAUUAUUUUGUGAAUCAGCAUCUGAAUGCAUCAAAAGCACAUGAUUCAAAGGGACAUCUUUAAGUCGCUAUCUGAAAGCAAACGACAUAUGAGAUUUCCUAGAAAUUGACAAUUUGAGGAUCAUCUAUAAGUCAUAUUAUUGGAAAUAGGAUAGUAUGCAAGAUUUUCUCUGAGUUGAUAGCCCAUAAGUCAUCCGUAAGCCGCAAAAACAUCCUAACCAGAUAGUGUGCAAGGUUUUCUAAAAAUUAAUAGUCUGAAGGUUAUCCAUGAGUCGCAACUAAAUCCUUAUCGGAGAAUAUGAGAGAUUAUCAAAUUGACAAGUCCAAGGAUUCUCUAUUAACCUCGUCAUAUCCAAGAUCGAUUAUGUGCAGGAUUACCCAAAGACUAAAAAUUUGAGAUAUAUCUAUCAGUCAUAUUGUAUCCAAGAUCGGAUGAUGUGUAGGAAUAACUGAGAGCUAGCGAUUAGAGGGAUAUCUGUAAGUCUUCUCUGAUCCAAGGUCGGAUAAUGUACAGGAUCACUUAAAGACUAGCAAUUCAAAAGAUAUCUAUAAGUCGCCUCGUAUCCAAUAUCAAAUAAUUAUCCAAAGAUUGAUAAUCCAAGGAAAAUCUAUAAGUCGUAUCGAUACAAAAGAUGCGCAAGACUUACCCGAGGUCACUUGCAAAGAAUCAUCGUCAAUAACCAGAGAGGUUAUCAUUCCACAUACAACAAACAUUAUAGGUGACCAAAAAGUUUGCCACAUCAAUAUGAGAUUACAUGGUUAUAGGGAUCGUUCUGCAUAAAGUGUCAUCGGUGUCCAAAUGGGCCACCCCAUUUUAAAGAUAUAUUUAACCGACGAAUGAGAUAAUUAGGCAAGGAGCAAGAGGGUUAUUGUAUCUGUUGUUGCAAGUUAUUUCUUCCUAAACAGGUACAUAAAAGGGUGACUUUGCUUUCAGACAACAACUCACGUAGAGAUAUGGUAAAGAUUAUAUACCUCUUUCAUGAAUUAUGUUUAGCACUAACACUUUAUGUUUGAAACAUUAUCGAGAGCACCCGAGAGGAUGAAAAUCUCAAAUCAAAACCAUAGGUGCGAAUGACUCCAGAUAGGACGCAGCACAACGUGGAACUCUUUCUUAGUAUAAAAAUGGGAUAUAGUCUAAAGAGGGACAUCAAACUCUUUGGGCGCGAGCUAAAGAAUGAUCGCCACCACCAUCCAACCACACUCUUGUUAGAAGGCAUGUGGAUAUUUUGGGAUAUUCUGGCUUCAGCUCCACCUUCGAGAUAUGUCUAAUCUCAUACCAAGAUUAACCUUCUCUUUCUUUGAAAUUCGGGUGACAACACACUUAGUUUUUUGGAAAUUAUGUCUAGGUAAAUUCUUACCUAUGGACGUGAAGAGCUCCACAUUCAUGGUUAAGAGGUUACAAGCCUCUUUUUCGCUACUCGAUCAACUUGUCAAUCAUCUUGAGCCAAAGAUCAUCUAAAAUAAAAGACUAUCCUUUCCCUUUAUCCCACAUUGAUGGAGCAAGAUUUGGGUCUCCAUCUUUUUUCUCUCUAUAUAGCUUCUUCUAGAGCCAAAAAAAGGAGGUCUGAAAAAGGUUAAAAAAUCUUUUGAGUAAAAAUAAUUUUUUUAGUGAAAUUUUUGUUUCUUUUCGUGAAAUUUAUCGGCUAAUCGAGGGUUUCGA